GGCGAGGGCGCAGGGCGCGCGGGGCGGGCGCACGUCUCGGACGGUGAUCCCCGCCCGCCGGCGGGCCAGGCAGUCCUGCCACCCGGCGGCCCGGCCAGCCCCGAGCCGAGUGGGGGCGGAGCCGCCCGCGGCCACCACUUCCUGAGAGCCGGGGAUACCCCUCCCGAACGUCACGGAGGAGCCGAGGCGGCGGUGGCGGCCCGGGGCUCAUCCUGCACUUGCAUCACGGGUGCAGCAGCAGCUGCUCUGCUCCUUUGUGGCUUUUUCCCCUGUUGAGUAACUGCUUUGUUAACUGAAAAUACCAUGACGGGCCAGUGUGAUCACCAGCUCCAGACCUCAAAGAAAGUGAAGCUGUCAGGCAAGAAGAGGGAGACUCCCCUAGCCGGGUGCGAUGGUAUCUGGUGGGUGGGUGUGUAGAGAAGCACUUGACAGUUUCCACGUAUUACUUCUUGCCCAAUGCUUCACCCCCAAGAAGGUUUAAAAAUACUUUUAUUUCCAUGCUGUAAAAAUUUCGUGUGUUCUGCACCUCACCCAUUCCCCCUUCAACUUGAGUUCUCAUGCAGAAUUGGAAUCAGUGUAAAGCAGGAACCCUAAAUUUAGGUACCGUUUUUAGGAAACAGGACAUCUUUCAAUGAAUUUGUUGAAUAAGCGACAUUUUCUAAAUGUUAGUAUAUAAAAGGUCCUUGCCCACUCAAGGUACUUCUAAGGUCCUUGCCCACAAGGUGCUAUGAAGUUCCUAGCCUAGUUUGUUCAUAUGAACUGGGGUCCCUCAGUGACACUUUUAGAUUCAUAUCCUUGUUUACCUUAAAAAAAAGAAAUCCAUUCCUGGCUGAAUAUCUCCAGGUUUAGCUUUUCUCUCUUUGAGUGGGUGUGUCUUUCUGGACAUUUAUGUCGGUUAAUUCUGCGCUUCCCCCUCCCUCCACCUGCCGCGUUUAGAUCCUUUCCUUCCUGAGAAUUGGUCACCAAUCUUUGUUCCUUGACUGCUGUUAGGCUGAGGGCUGUUGUGUGGUUGCGCUGAGCCAAUCAGCUGGCUUAGUGCUCCUCGGGGUAGGAAACCGGACUGCCUGCUGGAGAGGUUCCAGUGGUCACUGAUAAGUGGCAACAUUUUUGCACUCAAAUGGAAAGUCGUGAAAGCAGAGACAAGGCUGUCUUACAAACUGGGACACAGUCCUCUGCUUAAUCCUGGAGCAUAUGCAGUUCUUUAGGUGACCUCCAACUGAAUAAGUCAUUCUUUUCUUUUUUUCAAAUUAAUACCUCUUGUUCUAUGCUAGCUUUUCAAAAGUCUGACUUACUAGAAAUCAGGCAUAAUACUGUUCUGUAAGGCAUAUGAAAGAUGUCUGUUUCAGUAAUCUAAAUUACCUUUUCGAUGACUUUUUUAUUAAAUGAAACUUGAUACUUUAUAAUUAAACCUCUUCUUCUGGGAAAGCAAAUACAAUAAGACUACCUUAAUCUGUGAAAUGUUGAAAACUUACCUGGUUUGGUCCUUUUUCUAGAAGAGGGACAUUCGUGUGUGGCCUAGUUUACACACACAAGGCAAAGAAAGCAGUUAGUUUCUGCUGUCAUGAUACUUAUGGCAGCCAAUCUAUUAAAAACUCUUUCUGUGAAGUAACUAUUACAGAUUCACUGGGUAGCUACCUUUCAUUUCAUUUUGGUUUUGCAGGUAUAGUCUGCGAGAAAGAGAGUGCUCUUUCUCUUGGAAAAUAAAAUAUGAAAUUUGAGGGAAAUUUAUUGUGUAUGAUAUAAAGCAAUUUAACUAGGUGGGAUUUAAAAAAUUGCUUUAAAUGCUCUUCUGAUUAAGUAAUGACAUAGACUCCUGUUGAUUUUGCUAGUAUGUAAAGAAUGACUAUGAGUCGUCUUAAUGCAAAGAUUGGGUGAGGAAGGGUGAAAUAAAAAUUCCAAGCCAGAAGUUGUUACCUAAGGUGAAAAUAGGAAGGAAAAGUAAAAAAUUGUGUAAGUACAAAUUUUCUAGAAUUAGUUUAGAAGUUCGAUACUAUAUUGAAGAAGUCUGUAUAAAAUUUAGCAGCUUCAGUUGACAUUGACUUCUACACUGAGGUCCUGGGCUCAGGAACGUGGGACUAUUGUGGUAGCUUUCUCUCUGACCCACCUGCAGACCAUCCCUUCUUAUCAAUUCUGUCCUUGCCAAAUUAAUCCUCCUAAAAUGUGACUUUCGUUAUAUCAUUCUUGGGCUCAAAACUCUUCAGCAGCUGGAUAACGUCUCUACAAUAAAACCCAAAAGCCUCCACUUCCUGGCCUCUUUAUUUCCACAGAAUUUCUCUCAGUCAAACUGGCGUCCUCACUGUUCUUCAAACAUUCUUUCACCAUCCCGCAUGUGUUCCUAGUUUUCCUUUUUAUGGCAGUCCCUUCUUCUCCUUCUCUGCUUAUUGAAAUCUGACCUGUCCUCUAAAACUAGCUCAAGAAAUGAACUCAGAUGGUUCGUUAUUCUUAAGUUCUUAUUUUGCUGCCUUCUUUCUGUGCUCUUAUGUCCAGAGCUUAUUCUCCUGUCAAACGAUAAGCUUCAGAAGCCUGCCUCACACAUCUUGGAGAUUUCUGUGGCCCCUAAGUUUAACAUAGCUCGUAAAUGUCUGUAAGAUAUUCCCACAUCUAAAUUUGAAUAUGAAUAGAGAGCAGCCACGAUGUAAGUAACAAAUUGUAUGGACUAGGAUAUUCUUGGCGAGAAUGGACACACAUGAGAUCACGCAUCAGUUGUUUUCUUUACCCCAACUCCUGCUGCUCCCGAUGAACACACCUUGUCAGCGAGCCGGCCGCAAGCACAGACAGCUGCAUGGUGAGACAAGGAAACUGCAUGCAGCUUGGUGUGUGCCUCUUACAUCUGCGUAGGAAGAUUUGCUAUGAUUUUUUUUUCCUGAUAGACUUUUGGUUUGACUCUCAUUCUACCUUCUUUCUCCCUCUGUUUUCACUUUCUCUUAUGCUACUUUCAGUGAUGAACUGGAUGCUGUAGGCUAGGAAAUGUUAAUAUCAGCUUCUUUUGAAAAAUUUCUUAAGGUUGAGAAAAUUGAGAACCAUCUAUGUAUAUGUAUAACCAGUUAAAUAUAAAAAUUCUUGAAUCUCAUACUUCUUCCAAAAUAUAUUUAAAUAGAUUUGUAUGGCAGUAUAUAUAUGCAGAGGUAAGCUAGGCAAAGAGAUUUUGGGAUUAUGAUUUGUUAGAAAUUUUAGAGAGAGGCCCAUGUGACUUAAAAUACUAAAAUUUACUCUAACGAAGAAAAAGUAAUAUAAUAGAUCAGGAAAGACUUUCUAUGUUAUAGAAAAUUUUGGAAAAGAGUAAAAACUCAAGAUGGAAAGAUUGCUUGAUAGUGUAAGUGCUAAUAACAUUUUAAAAUCUUAUUAAUAUUUUUCUAUCCAUUAGUAAAUAAUAGGACAGGCUUGCGUUUUGGUUAAAAAGAUUGUUUCGUAUUCAUGUUUUCCCCAGUCGCUGGUAAGCUCUGGGAGACCACAGUGAUUUGGGGAGAAGACUUAGUAGUCUUGUGUGAUAGUCUUGUUCAGGAUAUUAUAUAUGCCUAUGAAAUAAGGUCUGUGUUUGAGCUAGUGUCGAUAGAUGAAGUAAAUAUCUUUUUCCACAUAUAACCCUUUCCCUUCACCUAACUCUGAAAAAAAAAGAAGAUUGCCUCAGGUGUACAAAUUCAGUUCCUUCAGCAUCUUCUCCAAGAGUGGGAUGCUGUAUUUCACAGAGAGCACUAGAUUGUUUCUCAGAGGCCUGGGUCUGGCUUUGCUGCCAUGAAGCUGCCCAACCUUGGAUUAGUUAAUUAAUUUUUUGGGGCCUUAAUAUCUCCAUCUCUAAAAUGAUAGGGUUGUGCUUGCCGUAUGAUCUUUAAGGCUCUUUCAGGUUCUAAAGUUGAAUGCUUUUUUAGGCUGGCUAAAAGUUGUGAAUCUUGAGUCACCUCUGGCCUGGUCUCCUGUCCUUACGUGAUUGCUGCAGUCAGGAGGCUUCUUGACUCUUUUGUGUGUAACACUUGUCGUUAUGGUAGUACUAUUAUGUUAAACUGCUCUGGCCUGCAUGAUAAUUAACUGUAGUCAUUGAGUGAGAUCUUGGUGGCCUGAGAGGGUUAAUGUACUGCCAGCUUCACAGCCUUCUCCUGUGCAUAACGUGGAAACAGGCAGAAAGCUGGAUAGUCCAAAAGUCAUUUUAUAUUUAGCUUUGGAAUUUUUUUUGUAUAUUCACUCGAAUAUGGGUGAGUCACAAAUUGACUUCAUGCAAAGUAGUAAACUUUAUUGGAGUGGAUUCUGUUGUUUGCCCCUCUUCAGUUCCUCUCUGGUCUUCCCUGCAUGCUAGGCAUAAGCCAUUUCUUCUUGACAGUAGCAGCUGAGGCAGAACUGUCCUUUCUGCGUUUUCUAGAGAAGGAUUGGUGAUGGGGGGUUGCAGGUCUUUAUAUUGCCUUUUAGAGUGUGAGUAGAUUGAGAAAGUGAAAUAUUAAGAAGGCAGGUCAAAAGGAAAGUACGAAGUAGGUAUUAAGUUGAAAAAAUGUUGGCAAAUCAAGCAGGAAUCAAUUUGGUUUGUAAACUUGUUAGGUUUGCAGUUGGGUACAUCCUUAUGAAUAAAUAAGAGCAGGCUUUAUAGGCAUUGGGAUAUACCUGAGCUUUACCACAUUGCAGGUUUGGAUAGUAAAAACAUGGCUUGUCCAUUAAUUUAGGGCUUUUUUUAAAUGCCUGUUCUACAUAUUUAGGUUUCUGGUUUCCUGCUUAGUUCGUGUAGUUAGUAGCUGAUUCUGAUUUUUUACCAUAGUACAUUUUCUAGUAUUUAUUCCGCAUGUUUAUAGUUCACUACUGGAAAAAUUCCUUCCUAACAUCUGUUCUGAAUUAGUUUCCUUUUCCAGUUAUGUUUUCCUGUUUUAUCAAUUGUAGCCAUGAGAAUAGGAAGCUAUAUUUUAAAGAUUUAUGCUAUGUAAGCUUAGUAAAAUUGCGAUAAACUACCUCGUAAUUUCUGAAAAUGAUUGUCUUAUUUUAAAUUCACAUGUCAAAUCACUAUUUUCACUUUUUUUUUAAACAAUAGAAUUAACUGGAUGCAAUUUGAAAUCCAUUUACCAUAGUUUCAUAGCAUUUUAUAAUUGUCAGUUGGCAUUUUAGUGACUUUAUAUUUCAAAAGUUUUUUGAGACAAGCCUCUAUCUCUAAAUCUUUUAAAGUGACUUUUUGUUUAAAUUAUUUUGGCCUUAUUUAUUUUGGGGGAUGAAUUUAUUGAGCACUUAAGGCAGUUCUUGGCACAGGCUGGGAGCUCUGUAAACAUUUGAUGAAUGAGUGAAAGCAGUUUUCAAGAAGCUUUAUUCAGAAUACUCCGUUUUCUUUCUUUAACCAGCCUCGUGGCCUGGUGAACUUUUCUGAGAGUUUUUCUCAGUGGUUAGACAUACGAGAGGAGUAGAGAAGGCCAGCUGUCCCCCACCGUGCUGUUGUUCCUACAUUCCCCUGUCCCACCAUUGCCCCUAAUCCCCAGAGCCUUCUGGUUGCCCGUUUUGAGGGCAGUACCCCUGAGCUACACCGCUCUGUGACGUCUGUUGUGGACUAAGAGCCAAUUCAGCUGUCCUAAGGAAUUGUACCACCUUUUGACCCCAGAUAGCCCCAAGAAUUAAUCUCUGGCUUAUCUCUUUAUUUUGAUGUGUCACUUUUGCUAUGAUACUGUCACAAGAUUGUGUUCUUCCUUCUGGUUUUCAUGUCUCUGCCCUGGGCAUAUACAACCUGUUCUAGUCGUCAGAUUUCCGACUGUAACCCUCACUUUGCUUUCCAGUUCCGGAUGCUACUAUUCACGGCCUCCAAGUGACAGCCACUUAUCUCCCAUCUGUCACUCAUAGACUGAGGGCCCAAAUGGAGACUAUAAUCUAGGAGCUUGAAUUAUAUCCACUAGCAUUUAACCUAUUAAACGUUUUAAGAUUUAACUUUUGAAAAGGUAAUGCCUUCACAUGAUUCGAGCAACAAAAUGUUUAGAAAUGAAGUUUUCCUUCCACUCUGUCCUCCAUCUACUCAAUUCCUAUCCUUCCAGAGUUUGUAAAUGCAUAUCCAAACCAAUACAGAUAUGAAUUCUGUUUUCCUUUUCCUUUUUUUGUGCGAAUGGAAGCUAAUAGGUAUUAUUCUGCCUUUUUCACUUAACAGUGUAUCUUGGAGUUUUUAACAUAACAGUGGAAAAAUAUCCAAGAUAUAUUUCACUUUAAUAAUAUAUCUUGGAGAUCUCUUCCACGUCUUUGUGUAAGUAUAGUAUCAUUUAUUUAACCAGUUCCGUAUUGAUGGACAUUUGGGCAGUUUUCACUCUUUAGCUAUUACAAACAAUGCUGCAAUAAAUAUUUUUGUUACACAGAUUAUUUCACAUUUGUGCAAAUAUAUUAGUAGGGUCAAUUCUUAAAAGUGGAAUUACUGACCACAGAGUAUAUCUCACAGUAGUUUUCUAGAUGCUACCAAAUUGCCCUCCAUAGAGGUUGCACAGUUUACACCCCCACCGGAAAUGGAUGAGUGUGCCCGAUUAUCCAUAGUCUUGCCAACAAAAUGUCUUAUUGAGCUUUUGAAUUUUUUCCAAUCUGAUAGGUGAAAAAUGUUAUCUUAGAGCAUUUUUUAUUUCUAUUUCUCUCAUGAGUGAGUUUGAAUAUCUUUUCAUAUGUUUAAAAGCCAUUGAUAUUUCCUUUUCUGUGAAGUGUCUCGUAUCCUUUGCUUAGUUUGGGGGAGGUUGUUUAAAAAUCACCUUGUAGCCCACGUUUAUAAUAUGGAGAUCUGCCUUUGGUAAUACGAGUUGCAACAUUUCGCCCCCAGUUUGUCAUUUGUCCUUCAUCUUUGCUUAUGGUGUUUUUGCUGGGUAGAUUUUUUUUAAAAUGUAGUUGAAUUUGUCCGUCUUCUCUUUUAUGACUUCUGGAUUUUGUGUCAAAGUUAGAAAAGCCUGCCCCACUAGAAGGUUAUAACAGUUCUCUCAUAUUGUCUUCUACUACAUUAUGGUUUCCAUUUUACACUUAAAUUUUUGACCCGUUUUUCUUGGUGUAUGGUGUGAGGGAUAGGUCCAGCUUUAUUUUUCCACCUGGUCACUCAGUUGCCCCAACACCAUUUGUGAGCAGUCUGUGUCUACGUUGUUUUGCUUCUUGCCAAAAACAAGACGAAUUUGAUUCAUCUACCUUUUUUCUCACCUACUUUGCUGUGACUGAAUAUAAACACAGUUCUCUGUUUUCCUGCCUGUAGAAUGCCUUUCCUUAGAGGCUAAGGUGUCUUCACCGUGUUCCCUCCCCGUUUCCCUUGGCAACACCACCGGCCUGGCAGCCAGUUAAUAUUUGAAUGAUUACCCGGUGCUCGGAGAGCUCUCCAGGAUUUCACAUUGAGCAAUAACUGGCCCAAAAGAAAUCUUAACUGUGAUCAGGUUCCCUAGAAGGCUGUUCAACCCAGAGAUGUCUUCUGGCUCCCUAUGCAUACUAACCCGCUGUCGCAGAACCCGCAGUCCACUGCCUGGGCCCUUCACUCCGAGCAGUCCAAUUCACAUUCCUUCCCUCUCUGCAAAUUCAUCUCUUCUGCCACCUCUGCUUUGUCUGACAGCGUGGGAUAUUGCCUUCUCUGAUUUGGAUUGGGAACCAUAAUGUGCCAGAAAAGUGGUUUGGAUUCCCCACGAUGCAGUGGCCAGCUCCAGAACCUCAUUUACUUGGAAAGUGAUUGUGGCUGAAUUAUUUGGGAAACAUACGUCCUCAAUUUGAACCUCAAGCAGAUUAAGUUUUUUCCUCUAGGGAACAUAGGGAAAACCCCAGCCUUAUCCUUUGUUCUACCUAGGGGAGCGUGUCCAAGCAGGCAGAUGAAACUGAAUUUACUUGAUACCCUUACUAGCACUUUCUGAGCUCCUUGGGAUAGUUUUACAGCUCCUUGAUAAAAGACUUCCUUCUCCUUUGAACCGUUGCCCCCAGUGAUCUUUCUCUUUCAGACUUUUCCCAAGCAUCGUGCCAUCUUGCCUGGUUUUUAUUAUUGAACCUUUUUGGGGGAUCCUAUUUCUUAUUUCUGCCUUCAGACUUUUCCCUGAUGGCUGGUAGUAUAUUCUUUGUCUAAUGCCAAUUUGAUUUAAAGUUAUUUUGGCCAAAACCAAUUUUGAGCAAAUACAGUUCAGUUGAAAUCAAGCUGGUCAACUGGACAAUUUGGUUAAAACAAUGAUUUGAUAAAAAAUGAAUAUCCUAAGUUACUAGUUUUUGAGUAGUGGUAGUUUUAGUAUAUUAUGGGGUCAUUAAAUACUUUUGGUUCAUUUUCUAGAGUUUUUCUCGUUUUUCUUUUAUAUUUCACAUUGAUUUUCAGCUACAAGAGCACUUUGUUGCUUGUGAUGUCAAAAAGUUAAAACCAUCUAGCUGCCCAACAAUUGGAGAAUAUUUGGACAAGCUUGAUCUUAACUACAAGGCAAUAAGAAGUUAAUUGGAACAACCAAAACAUCGAGCGAUAAGAUAAAAACAUUUUCGUUUAUUGUUUUUUUUUCCCCUCGUUAAAAAGGCAGUGCAUGUGCGGUACAGGACACUCGGAAAAAUGCAGAUAAGGAGUAGAAGGACAAAAGAAAAAAAGCCAUUAAUUCAUUCACUGAGGAAUAACCACUCUUGUCCUUCCCUGUCUUUUCAAAUGCAUUUUAUACACAUAAACUCUGCACUCUGUUUGUAAUCUGCCAUUAUUUAAGCAUUCUCCAAUUAUUGAUUAGUCACUUUUGUCCGGGAUUAGGUUUUGCUUCUUUCUGCCUUUUGUCUUGCAACUGUGGGCCAGUCUAUCUUAACUGGGAGUGGAUUGCCAUUCUCUUUUUCCUUCUGUCCCUCAAUCCAGGCUUGGUUCACGUCCAGCCUGGGCCCCAAAGACCCCACCUGCCUCCCUUAAGUGAGACAGUUUGUGGGUGAAGCCAUUCUGCCAAGCCUUUCUAUGGACUUACAAAAGGGGCCCGGUUCCAGAAUUCUAGUGGAACUCUCAAAUUAUAUGUAAAAUAAUUUUUGGAGUUCAUACUUGGUUUAUCUUAUGUGUAGAUGUAUGUAAAUUAGAUGGGGAGAGUGAAGUGAGGGUGGACAUUAGGUAGAGUCCCCACUACAGUAAAAAUAAGGAAGCCCUGCAGCAGAGGAAUCCAUUAUCAUUGGAGGGAAAUUAUUGAAAGGGAGUUUUUCUAAAUCAGAGUUGGGAAAAAUAUGCUGUGUCUUGUGCCCAAACCCAAGUCCGUGGUAGAUAUCACUAAUCAGUCGUGGCACUAUUUCUUAUUGGGUCCAAACUCAGCUUUGGAUCGUCUUUGAGAUGGGGUGCUAGGUAGCUCCAUCUGCCGGAGUUUCUGUGGCAGACAAACCUACUUACCAUUCUUACUCUAAAAUAUUGCAUUAAGGUUUUUUUUUUUUUAAAAAAAAUAGUAGAUUGAACAAGAGAGUUAUAAUAAAAUGUUUUAUCUCUGAUAAAUAAGUUUAUGAUGAUAAAUAUGAGAUGUGAGCAAAGAGUAAUUAUCUGAAUCUCAGGCAAAGCACUUGCCUCAUAGUUAAGAUCAUGGAAACAAGCAUAAUUGAAUUAUAGGUUUGUUAUGGAGUAAAAACAAUGUCACAGUAAUACUCAUCAUUCUAAAUUGCCCAUGGUCAUGGUGAUUGACUUGCCAGCAUUCAUUACACCCCAGAGGAUUAGUCUGAGCAACCAUAGUUAAUCCCAUUUCCUUUACCAGUGAAGGGUUGGGAAUGGCCUGUAAGCUAUUCUGGCCAAUGAGCUGUGAAGGGAAGUCCUAGAGGAGGGUCAGAGUGCCUCCGGGAAAGGGUUUCUUGUCCCUAAAAAGAUAUGAAAGAAAGGGGUGGUGCCUCUUCUUCCUCUGAUGAUGUUAUGUCUGAAUAUGAUGGCUAGAACUGCUCAGGCCGGCUUAAGACAGUGAGAGGAACUGGCUUUGGAUGAAGCUCAUCUAGAAGAUGGCAAAACAGAGAGAGAAGAAACCUGAGCCCUCCAUGACCUUUCUGAACUGCUGAUUGUAUUGUACUUGGUCUGCCUUACCUCCGAACUUCCAGUUCUGAGAGAUAAUACAGUUCCUUAUUGUGUAAGCCAGUGUGAUUGUCACUUGCAGCCAAAAGCAUUCUGAGUGGUAUAUACACUUUGUCCCAAGGAGGGUCACAUCAGAUGGUUUUGAUUUUAUUCUGAAGAUUUAUCGGGGUCCUUCCCUCCCCUGUUUCCUGGCUUCAUAAAGUGGGUGCAUGUUCUAAUUGGCCACUUCUUGUCUCAGUCUUCUCCAGGGCGCUCUGCCUUAGACUAGAGUUCUUCACAGAAAGCAGCAAGGAACCGGCCAGCACCCACCAUCUCUUCUGGAGCCUUUUGGAUUGUUUGAAUGUCUGGUGGUGUGACUGCUCUUGUUUGUUGUUCAUCCUUCUGAUUGUGAUUCUGAUUCUGAUUUCUUGCUUUCGUCCUGGUCCAUGCUCUUGCAUAUUUUGCAUCUUAAGUCUGGCCUCAAGAUUGUUUAAUAGAUUUAUUUCCCUCUUUUCCUUCUCUCCUCUGCUCCUCUUUCCUUUCUCUCUCGCACUCACUCCUUCCAUACUUUGUGACUUUACUUAGGGUCAGUGGGGACAAUUCUAAGCAGAUGUAUGUGAUCUUUGCCAGAAGUAAUGAGUUAAGUUAAAUGAGUAGUCAGACAGUUAUUUGCUCUAGACUGGUGUGGUAAAGAGGAAGAGUAGGUGAGCACUUGGCCAUUUUCUCAUGGCGUAGAGUAAGUAGCACCAGAAAUGACCUAGGGGUCGGGGCACUUGAGUCUUCAUUAUGGCUUCACUGUUUGCUACCUGAAAUCUUGGGCAAGUCACUUAAAGACAUUGAGUUUCUUCUUUGAAAUUUGUUACUAGUUCUGGGCUGAUUUUUUGGCAUAGUGUUGUUAUGAUUCAGAUGAAACUCUAUGAACAUGGGAAAUGAAAAAACUUUGGGGAAAAAAGAAUACUCAAGCUUGGUUGGAUUUUCUGGUUAUUUUCUGGUGAACUAAUGUCAAAGUGUCUAGAAUCAGGUCUGUGUAGCUUGUAAGUCUGUUUGUAAAAAGGCAAUGGAGUAUGAUGUGGGAUAUAUUAAUAAAAGUAAUUAGGGAUUGAAGCUAAAAUCUUUGUGGCAACUUACAGCCUGGAAUAAAAAGAAAGGGCCACACAACAUGAAGGGGAACUAAAGGUCAGGAUGUUGAUCUUGAGGCUUAUUUCUAGUUCAACCAGAAAUUCUGGUGAGCCAAGAUAGGGGAAAGAGAAACCAACAGAAGAAACACCCCCUCUAGUGGCGAGGGGCCAGAUUCUACGCUAGAUUGUGACGAUGGGUGAGUGGGGAGGGGAUGACUUCCUAGGAUGUUUCAGGUUCUGAAGAAGAAUUCUGAAGAUCUAGAGUUAGACUCUUAGGGAAGAUCUUUAGCUCCAGCUUUCUUUAUCUAGAGAGUCAGCACAUUUCAAGAAUAAGUAGUACCUUGGCACUCUUGUGUGGGGUCGAUUGUCUGAAAAACGUAGAGGCUGCAGUUGUUGGAAGAGGUUCAGGGUUCACUUUCUUGUAGGCCAUUUAUUUAGAGAUCAUGAAAUUAGGAGGCCACUGUGGCUAAGCUUUUUAUUGAUCUGAGAUGAUACAGUAGGUACCUUUAUAAACCCAUUUGUAGGGGGAUAAAGCUUAUAUUUAAAGUUAUGGAUAAUGCCAUAGAGUAGUAUUUGUCUAUAUUCAUAUAAAAUAAUGGCUGUGGAUUUCCUAAGUAUGAUUUUUGAUUUGAAAAUUUUAGUGGUGAUCCCAAGAAUCAAACGUUUAAUUUGCAUCUCAGAAGUGAUUUAAUUGCUAUCUAUGGGAAGGUAGUGAAGUUAAGCAUAUUAAAAUGACAUAUUACCCACAGUUCAGUGGCUUGGUAGGAAUACCUAAUGCAUUCUUGAAGGACACCUUGUCUUAAGGAUGUGUAUUGUUGAUGAUGAUAAUUGCAAGUGAUUUUUACAUUUAUAAAUCUCAGUCCAUUGAAGUUUUUACCAUUUCAACUUCUAUUUAGGAAUAAUUCUUUUAAGUUUACUUAAAGAACUCUGAAGAGGCAAAAUUUCAGAGAAUAAAGUCUUUAUGGUGCUCUGUGUUAGAUCUAAGGAAGAUUUGAAUGCCAUUCAGCUCCAGUAUAGAAAAGAAUGAUUAAGGCAUGAGAAAAUAAAUUUUGGUACAAGACUGCAUUACCAAAGUGCCAUUUCAUUAUUUUUAAUGUCAAACUUCCUCGCCCUGAAGGAAAGAAAUUUGAACCUUGCAGUAGAAUCAGCCUCUCAAUAAUUUGGAAUUUGUUUGGUGAUGUUUCUUGUGAAAUAAAAAUGGAAAAAUUCUCUGGAAAAUACAAAAUAGUCUAAAAAGUACCAUGGAUAAAGUGAGAUUAUAGAGUUAUGAAAUUAACUUUUGUCCAUAACUUGUGGAACUAAUAUCCUUAGUUUAUGGUUAUACUUCAUAAAUAUACUUGACUUCAGGAAAGAAGAACUAAGUCUGGCAGUAGAUCAGGAUCCGUGUAUUGUGGAAAACCAGAAACAAGAGGAAGAGGGUAUUAAUGGUUCAUUCUUAGCUGACAAAAAUUCAGUAUGUAAUAAUUAAGAUCAGUUAGAGAAAGAAUUACGAUUGUGUUAAGUGAGUGUGCAGAUGUUGUUGAAGGCCAGUCAGUUAGAACUGAUGUGUUAAUAUAUGUGGGGCAAUAAACCAAUCAGAUGGUCUCUGCUAAAUUAGGGUGACAGGAGUGGAAGAUGUCUGAAGGAGGUGAGAUAGAUGAUGAGGUUAGUGGUAAUCAGACCUUCUUCCUUAAAUCCCAGCGCUAAAGAGGUACUCUGUACAUUAGUGAUAGCUUAAUUCUAUAGAUAAAAUUUGGUGUUAGAAAUUGCUAGAAUGUUGGCAUUGCUGAGAUUAGGCAAGUAUUGAUUUGCCUGAAGGGUUGCAUCAAGUGGGCUUGAAUAAAGAGCCCAGGUUCCACAAUACACCGCUUUUGAAAUUGCAGAUAAAGUCUAAUAAUUCAUAUUUGUAUAGAAUUUUACAGUAUUGUAAGUGUUUUCACACAUAUGGUCUCAUUUGAUUCUUAUCAGAAUCCUGGGGCAUAGGAGCACAGAUUUGAUUACCCCAGUUUUACACAUAAGACAGUGGAGACUCAGGGAGGCUAACAGACUUACUAAGAGCAAAUAGGGACUAACUGACGGAGUGGGCCUUGAACCCAGGACUCCUUAGGAAAAUGCCUUCGUUCACUGUGUUGGUUUCCCAUGGUUGCUGUAACAAAUUAGCACAAACUAGGUGGCUCAAAACAACAGAAAUGCAUUCUCUCUCAGUUCUGGAGGUCACAGUCCAAAGUCCAGGUGUGGGCUGUGCUGCACUCCCUCUGAGGCUCCCGGAGGGAAUCAGUUCUUUGCCCCUUUUACUUCCUGAUAGCUGCUGGCAUGCCAUGACUUGUGGUUGCCUCACGCCCAUCUCUGCCUCUGUGUUCAUGUAGCCGCCUCCUUUUUCCCGUGUCUUUUCCUCUUCUGUCUGUCUCUGACCUCUCUUUGCGUUUCUCCUAUAAGGACUGACUUUGACUCUACUUGUCGUUGGAUAUCGAGGGCACACCUCGAUAAACCAGGGUGACUUCCUCAUCUUGAGAUCCUUAAUUACAUCUGCGAAGACCCGUUAUUCAAAUAAGACGCUGCAAUAGACUGACUGUUUGUGUCCCUCUGAAGUCCGUGUAUUGAAAUCUUAACCCCCAGUGUGAUGGAGAAGUCAGCAGUGAACCUGGAAGAGGGUCCUCGUGGGACGCUGAGUCCACCAGUGCCUUGGUCUGGGACUGAUCGCCUCCAGAACUGAUGGAGAGCAGUGAGACCCUGGGAUGGUCUUUCAGUCAGGUCUCCUGUCUUUCUUCUCUGAAAUGGCUGGUGUCGUCGAAGUUUUAAGACAGUUCCCGUACACUGAGGAAAACCAUAUUAAAAGAUUUCAAGAGCAUUUCCUCAUUUCAGCAGGUGUGCCUCAAGGACUGAGAGUUCCCUGUGGUUUCACGCUGCUGAUGUAGGCUGUCGUCAAGUUCUCUGCUUCACUGCAUCCUUCUAUUCUUAGAGGCCAUCCAAUCCAGGCCUGUUGGCAGAAGGGUAUAUGGAAUCAACAAAAUGAAAAGGCAACCUGUGGAAUGGGAGAAAAUAUUUGCAAACCAUAUAUCUGAUAAGGGGUUAUUACCCAAAAUAUAUAAGGAACUCUUACAACUCAAUAGUGAAAAAACCAAGUAAUCAUUACAAAAUGGUCUAAGGACCUGAAUAGACAUUUUUCCCAAGAAGACAUACAAAUGGCCAACAGGUACAUGAAAAAGUGCUCAAUGUCACUAAUCAUCAGGGAAAUGCAAAUCAAAAUCACAAUGAGAUAUCACCUCACAGCUGUUAGGAUGGCUCUUUUCAAAAAGUCAAAAGAUAACAAGUGUUGGCGACUGCAUGGAGAAAAGGGAACCCUUAUGCACUGUUGGUGGGAAGGUAAAUUGGUGCAGCCACUCUGAAAAACAGUAUGGAAGUUCCUCAAAAAAUUAGAAAUAGAACUACCAUAUGACCCAGCAAUCCCACUUCUGGGAAUAUAACCAAAGGAAAUGAAAUCAGGAUCUUGAAGAGGUACCUGUACUCCCAUGUUCAUUGCGGCACUGCGCACAAUAGCCAAGAUAUGGAAAUGACCUAAAUGUUCGUUGACUGAUGAAUGGAUAAAGAAAAUGUGAUAUAUAUAGAAUGGAAUACUAUGCAGCCUUAAGAAAGAAGGAAAUCCUGUCAUUUGUGACAAUAUGCAUGAACCUAGAGGACAUCAUGCUAAGUGAAAUAAGCCAGACACAGACAGACAAAUAUUGCAUGAUCUCACUUAUAUGUGGAAUCUAAAAAACAAACAAACAAGCACAAAAAACUGAUCUCAUAGUAACAGAGAGUAGGAUGGUAGUUACCAGAGGCUGGGGUGGAAGGGGGAAGGAGAGAUAAAAAAAUGAGAAAAGAAGGUAAAAUAGUGGUUGCCAAGGGCUGGGGCAGGAGGUCAUGGCAAGUUAUUGUUUAAUGAGGACAGAGUUUUAGUUUUGCAAGACGAAAAGAGUUCUGGAGAUGAAUGGUGGUGAUAGUUGCACAAUAAUAUGAAUGUACUUAAUACCACUGAACUGUGUACUUAAAAAUGGUUAAGAUAAUAAAUUUUAUGUCAUGUGUAUUUUACCACAAUAAAACAAUUGAAAAAAAAUUGGAAAAAAGAUACAUUGAAACAUUAAAAAAAGUAAAAAAUUAAAUUAAGGGGGCAGAUAAUGCAGAGAUUUAACAGGUAGCCAUGAGAUCAUGGUGGAAAAUGGUUUGGUGGCUCCUCAAAAAGUUAAACAUAGAAUUACCAUAUGAUCCAGCAAUUCCUCUCCUAGAUGUGUACUGGAAAUAAUUAAAAACAGGGACUCGAACAGGCAUGUGUACACUAAAGUUCAUAGCAGCAUUAUUUACAUAGCCAAGAGGUGGAAACAGCCCAAGUGCUCAUCAACAGAUGAAUAGAUAAACAAAAUGUGACAUAUGCAUACGAUGGAGAAUGUUAUUUAGCUAUAAAAAGGAAUGAAAUUCUGACACAUGCUACAACGUGGAUGAACCUAGAAAACAUUAUGUUGAAGUGAAAUAAGCCAGACACAAAGGACGGUUAAUAUGAUCCCACGUAUAUAAGGUUGGUAGAAUUGGCAAAUUCAUAGAGAGAAAAAGUAGACUAGAGCUUACCAGGGGCUCGGGGGAGAGGAGAAGGGGGCGUUAUUGCUUAUUGGGUGGAGUUUCUGUUUGGGAUGAUGAAAAAAUUCUGGAAAUAGUGUUGAUGGUUGCAUAACAUUGUGAAUGUACUUAAUUCUGCUGAAUUGUACACUUAAAAAUGGUUAAAUGGUAAAUUUUGUUAUGUAUAUUUUACCACAAUAAAAAUUUUUUUAAAAGAUGUACCAAUCUUACUUUUAAAACUCUUUUAUGACUUUUAAGUUGACUUCUAUGAUGUCUUUCCAAUGUACAUUUUUUAAGUAUAAUUCUUUAUAUUUUCCUCUAGGCAUUAUAAAGUUCAAUUUUUGCAUAUAACUCUGUUAUUCAUCUGAAAUUUGUUCAUGAGAUACAGAUACAAAUUUAUCACAGCAUCAUUUAUUGUGUAUUCUCUUCACUAAUUGGUGAUCUUUCUUUAUCAUAUGUUAAACUUAUGUAUAAUAAGCCCUAUUUAUGUGUGAAUUCUGUUAUUGAUUUCAAGACUAUCACAGAGAUUUUUGCCUCAUAGUGCUUUUGGGUAUGAAAAUGUGGAUACCGAGCUUCUGGCUGUGUAUUUACCUAAGGCAUCUCUUUUGGGUGUCAUGGUUAUCCCAUGUUAGUAUAAACUCAGGAUUUUCGGAAUGUAAUUAUCAAGUGAUGCUAUAAGUCAUUUGAAUUUAUUUAUAAAUAUUAGUUUUUCCACAUAUGACCAAAGUUCAACACCAGUGAUGUUGACAAGAAACAAUGCAUAUUACGUUCAGUUUCAUUAGCAGGGAGAGGUGAAUUAAAGAAGAAAAUCUGCUUCUAUAUCAUUUGUAGAGCCAUUAGUUGUUAUUAUGUCAUAUUUGUUCUUAUAAGUAAUGCCCUUCUACACUAUCAUUCCAACUGGGCUGGUAGCAGUUAAUUCAGCAAAUUUAAUUUUCCAAGUGAGAAAAGUUGCCUUUGCAUCAAGCUCAUAAAUAUAAUGCCUGGUGGUGGAUAUAAUUCUUCCAUUAUCAGCCUCGUUUAUCACGCCAAGUCAUGUGGCAGAACUGUGAGACUGAACAUGGCAGAAACUGGUAAAGAUUCCUCUUGCUUCAUUUCACUAAUGGAUUUUAUUUCUUCACUUUAACAACAAUAUAUCCAUCUACACAUAGGACUGUAUUUAGAGGGUAUUUGUUUUCAAUAUGAAGCUGCCUCAAAUCUUUUUAGAGUACUUUAAUCAGACUCAUUCUCUACAUGUUGUUUACAAGUGACCUUGUCCAUUUGAGUAUGCUGGUCUCUGGGCAAAGGUCCUGCUUGCUCAGUGAUACUGCAUCUGAGUUUUGUAACUAUUAGAGCAUGCUGGGGGUGGGGGUUGCAGGGGGAGGACGGACACCAGGACUAUCAUGUCUUUCUUGGGAUUUGGCCUCCUAGCCAAUUUCUACUUCCAUUUGGAUUCUUGUUCUCUUACAACUAAGGGAUCCAAAGAAACGCAGUCACUCUAUUUAUUGCUACUGAGUAGAACAUCAAAACUUAGUUGAUUAUUUCUUAAAUUUGUCUGAGCUUCCUUAAGUUCCUAGCAUGGCGUGCGCUUAUUUUUCUGGACUUGACCAACUGACCAAACCAUGGUACCUCCUCUUUUAUUCUAGUUAAAGAGGCAGAAUACCAGACAGAGGCAGGAAUAUCACUCCCAGUGGGUUAGGAAAUCUGGAUGAGGCUUGAUUCAUGGCUUCUGUGGAGGGAAGGAUGUUUUAUUGGAGUCAGUGCUUGCAGAUUUGCUGAGGUUACAGGAAAAGCAACAGAAGGUUUCUGUGGCAAGUGGCAGGUUUUUAUGGAGUUUAGGAAUCAGACAGAAUUGGUAGUUGAGAGAUUGCUGCUUGAGUGUUCAGGGAUUUAAGGAGAAAUAGGCACAUAUUUCUGGAGCUUGGGCUAUUUCCUAGGAUUCAUGGAGAAGAGAGGUUUUAAAACUAUCUAGAUAUCACAGGUUUCUUUCAUAGGUUCUGGACAGGAUGGAGGAGACAGAUAGAACCUGUUGCAUAGCCUAAUGACAUCGGGAUGAGCAGUAGUGUCCAAGCAACCCGGGAAGAAUGGUUCCCAGCCCCUGGAGAUGGAGCUGUGAUUGGGCUCCUAGACUCUGGUAAAGAAAUGGCCAGAAAGGAGGGGAAGCAAGUAAUAAGAGGGCUGGAGGCAGCUGAAGCAUCAUUUCGUAAGUUCAGAUAUAUUCAGUUACAUUCGAUCUGGUAAAGGAGAGGUAUUUUUCCCCUCCUUUUUUAAGGGCUUACUCAGCACUUUUAUUUGAUUGGAAGAGUGACCAGUUGAGGCUGAGGGGAUCAGGCCUCAAUAGUGUCAAAUCCCAACAGAGAAGCAGUAGGGUUGGGAACCAGGGUUAGAGACUGGAGAAUAAAAGGCUUGAAGUAGUAAGGAUUCCAGUAUUUAGCUUGAAAAGGGACAACCAGAUGGCAGAGUCAAGCAAAGUUGUGCCUAAUGGGCAUCGGGGAAUAGCAAUAAGAAGGCAGAGCUUUGGGAGACAGGAAUCCUGUUCAAGAUUUUAAUUUUAGAAGAAAGGAAUAGUAUGUAUUAAAUAACAUAUAAUUCCAAAGAUUCCUCUGCUAGAUAGUUUGAAAUAAAAUUUGGUCUCUAAAAAUCUUAAGUAUUAAUAAUACAGUUGAAAAGCUAGAAAUAAAUACAAUAUCACAAUAUAUUUGUGGAUAUUCCUUGCAAAAAUUUCUCAAAUUAUAAGUGUGUAUGUAUGUACUUAAGACAAAAUAUCUAUUGCCUAUCUAUCUAGCUAUCCAUCUCUCUCUCUCUCUCUCUCUCUAUCUAUAAUUCAGAAUUAGCUUGAUAACUUUCCUGAUUGUGUGCUUUUAUUUUUGGCUUUGCUACUUGCAAUAAAUGACUCAGAAACAGAAGUGAAAAAUCAUUUUACAGUUUGACUAGAGAGUUUUUUCUGUUCAGGUUGUUGUAAUUCUUACAUAAUACAGAUAUAAACCUUUGAAUGUUUAUUAGAUGUGUGGUGCUAGGUUUCUGCGUAAAACAACAAUACCAGCCCCCUAACUUCCAUGCCUCUGUAAUUAUGUGUAAACUUGUUUAAGAUCAUCAAGUACAAUGAUUCAUCACUCCAAGGUGCUCUGCUAAAGGCUACAUUGUUAGAAGACUAUUGUUCCCAACUGAAUAUAUUUAUUUUGAGCUUUGGUUAAUUUUUUUAUUUUUAACGUAAGCUCCAGAUCUCUAUCUAUACUCAUUAUGUAAGAAAUAAUAAAUACUUGAAGGCAGUUAUCUACUUUUAAAAGUUUACUUCUUUUUUUUUAAAAAAAGGGGCUCACCUUUAUUCAGUAUCUACAAAAUACUCAAAAUAUACACAAGUUCCAUAUUAUGACAAAUUGGGAGCCGUCUUUGAUUCCUGUCUCUCCUUUAUCCCACACAUCUAAGGAAUCACAAAUUCCUGCAGACUCUGCCUACAAGUAUCUCACAAUUUUUCCAUUUCUUUUUUCACCCCCACUGCCGUCAUAGUCUGGGUCACAUCGUCUUUCACUUUAAAAGCCCCCUAAUUGGUCUGCCUUCCUGUCGUGUUGCUCCCUUCUGUCCAUCUUCCACUCUACAGCCAGAGUGACCCUUCUAAAUGUAAAAUGGUCAUGCCCCCAUGACUCCUGUUAUUAAAAGUUUACUUCUUAUUGAUAAAAACAGAAGGCUAGUGCAUUAUUGGGAAUGUCUGUUUAGAUGUAUUGCUACUGUUGUCAGCAGCAUCAUAAGUAUCAUCAUCAUCAUCAUCAUCAUCAUCAUCUGUUAAUAUUGGUUGCUAACCAUUUAGGUCAGGGAUUAUUGUAAGUUCCAAUAGCAUUUACAAAUAGUAUAUGUCAAAUAACAGAGUCCUUGGAAAAAAGAGAGAAAAAUGAGUACUGGUCAAAAUUUGAAGCAGUUUCUAACUUUCAAAUGGGUUGGUGGCCAAAUUUUGUUUGUAAGGUACUUUGUUUGAACUUGGAGCCCUUUUUAUUGGUUAAUUCGUAAACAAUGUUAUAUAUGGAGUAUAUGUACCCAGUUUUGCUCUCAAAAACCCACUCAAGAGUUGAAACUCUAUGUGUUUAACACUAUUAUAGAGUUAUUUGAAUGUAGGUCUAUUGGUAAAAAUUUAUCAAGAUUCAACACAGAGCCUUCCAUUAGAGUUGGUGGAGAGUGAUUCUUUUCUUUCUGCUGUCUUCACCUACACCACCAAGGAAGUUAUGAAGACAUAUUUGUGCCCUCUGCUGUGGUUUGAAUUUUGUCCCCCCAAAACAUAUGUUGAAUUCCUAACCCCAUGUACUUGUGAAUGUGACCUUAUUUAGAAAGAGAGACUUUGCAGAUGUAAUCAAUUUAAGAUGAGGUCAUCUUGAAUUAGGAUGGGGUCUAGUCCAAUGACUGGUGUCCUUAUACAAAGAGGGAGAUUUGGGCACAGAGACAGGAAGAAUGCUGUGUGACAGUGGAAGCAGAAAUAGGAGUGAUGCACCUACAAGCCAUGGAAUGCCAAGGAUUGCCAGCAACCACUAGACACUAGGAAGAAGCAAGGAAAGAGUCUUGCCUAGAGCCUUCAGAGUGCUCAUGGUCCUGCUGACACCUUGAUUUUGGACUUCUAACCUCCAGAACUGUUGUUUGAAGCCAUUCAAGUUUGUGGUAAUUUGUUACUGCAGCCCCAGGAAACUAGUAACACCUUUUAAAGAAACAAAACUUGGCCAUUAGAAAUUUCUCAUGUGUCUGUCUGCUCCAUAAUAACUCUGAGAAUGGACUUAUUACUAAAACAAAACGUGGCAUGUGUCACGGACUAAAUGUUCCUGUCUCCCUCAAACUCACGUGUUGAAAUUGUAAGCUCCAAUGUGAUGGAAUGAGGAGGUGGGGCCUUUGGGAGGUAAUUAGGUCAUGAGGAUGGAGCCCUCAUGAAUAGGAUUAAUGCCCUUAUUGAGGGACCCCAGGGAGCUCGCUUGCUGUCUUUCCACCGUGACAGGAUACAUGAGAAGAUGGCUGGCUGUGAACCAGGAAGCUGGCCCCCACCAGUCAGCAAAUCUGCCAGCGUGCCUUCUUCUUGGACUUCUCAGCCUCCAGAAUUGUGAGAAAUAAAUGUUUGUUGUUUUAGCCACCCA